rnacentral:rRNA from 1 species
UACGUAGGGGGCAAGCGUUGUCCGGAUUUAUUGGGCGUAAAGAGCGUGUAGGCGGCCAGGUAGGUCCGCUGUGAAAACUCGAGGCUCAACCUCGAGAUGUCGGCGGAAACCAUCUGGCUAGAGUCCGGAAGAGGAGAGUGGAAUUCCUGGUGUAGCGGUGAAAUGCGCAGAUAUCAGGAAGAACACCCGUGGCGAAGGCGGCAUCCUGGACCGGGAUUGACACUGAGGCGCGAAAGCCAGGGGAGCAAACGGG